UGGGGGAUAUUGCACAAUGGGCGAAAGCCUGAUGCAGCGACGCCGCGUGGGGGAUGAAGGCUUUCGGGUUGUAAACCUCUUUCGCUAUCGAACAAGGCCCGCUUAGGGUGGGUUGAGGGUAGGUGGAGAAGAAGCGCCGGCUAACUACGUGCCAGCAGCCGCGGUAAUACGUAGGGCGCGAGCGUUGUCCGGAAUUAUUGGGCGUAAAGGGCUUGUAGGCGGCUUGUUGCGCCUGCUGUGAAAACGCGGGGCUUAACUUCGCGCGUGCAGUGGGUACGGGCAGGCUUGAGUGUGGUAGAGGUGACUGGAAUUCCAGGUGUAGAGGUGGAAUGCGCAGAUAUCUGGAGGAACACCGAUGGCGAAGGCAGGGCACUGGGCCAUUACUGACGCUGAGGAGCGAAAGCAUGGGUAGCGAACAGG
rnacentral:rRNA from 1 species